GAACAGUUCCAAAGUGACAGGGAGCUCUGGGCAUAUGUAGUCUCUGGGGAUCAGGUGCAUUCCUCUGCAGGGACUCUCCAUUUUGGUGGAGAGCUGGAUCUUGCUGUAAUGGACCUGCUGCUUAGAGAGAGCACCAGCCUCAGAAGAACAAACUUGCGGCUUUGCCAGAGCUAAAGAAGUCAUUUAAAAGCUUGGAGUAUCCCAAACAAUAGGAGGAAGCUCGCCUGUUACAUGUGCUUGGGCCCCAACCAAGUUUUUCCCAGCUGGAAAAAUCACUCCAUGAACUACAGAGGGUGUUUUGUUGGUGGUAUUUGGUUUUCUUUCCCCC